rnacentral:piRNA from 1 species
UGAAAUAAGAAUAAUAAAAUACUACUUCCUCC